rnacentral:rRNA from 1 species
UGGGGAAUAUUGCACAAUGGGCGAAAGCCUGAUGCAGCAACGCCGCGUGAAGGAAGAAGGCCUUCGGGUCGUAAACUUCUGUCCUUGGGGAAGAAGAACUGACGGUACCCAAGGAGGAAGCCCCGGCUAACUACGUGCCAGCAGCCGCGGUAAUACGUAGGGGGCAAGCGUUAUCCGGAAUUAUUGGGCGUAAAGAGUACGUAGGUGGCAACCUAAGCGCAUGGUUUAAGGCAAUGGCUUAACCAUUGUUCGCCCUGCGAACUGGGAUGCUUGAGUGCAGGAGAGGAAAGCGGAAUUCCUAGUGUAGCGGUGAAAUGCGUAGAUAUUAGGAGGAACACCAGUGGCGAAGGCGGCUUUCUGGACUGUAACUGACACUGAGGUACGAAAGCGUGGGGAGCAAACAGGAUUAGAUACCC